rnacentral:tRNA from 1 species
CAAGAUAUAAUUUAAGUAGAAUACUAGCUUUGGGGGUUAGUAGUGGGGGUUAAAAUCUCCCUGUCUUGA